rnacentral:rRNA from 1 species
UACGUAGGGGGCAAGCGUUGUCCGGAUUUAUUGGGCGUAAAGAGCGUGUAGGCGGUUUGGUAGGUCCGCUGUGAAAACUCGAGCUCAACCUCGAGACGCCGGUGGAAACCAUCAGACUAGAGUCCGGAAGAGGAGAGUGGAAUUCCUGGUGUAGCGGUGAAAUGCGCAGAUAUCAGGAAGAACACCCGUGGCUAAGGCGGCUCUCUAGUACGGUACUGACGCUGAGACGCGAAAGCCGUGGGGAGCGAACAGG